rnacentral:rRNA from 1 species
AGCUCCAAUAGCGUAUAUUAAAGUUGUUGCAGUUAAAAAGCUCGUAGUUGGAUUUCUGGUAUGGUGCGCCUGGCCCACGGUUGCAAAACCGCGAGUGUCGGUGUGCGCCUGCCAUCUUUCUAGUUAACUGGACGCACUUAACUGGGCGGUCAGCGAUCUAGUUCUUUUACUUUGAAAAAAUUAGAGUGUUUAAAGCAGGCUUGCGCUAUGAAUACAUUAGCAUGGAAUAAUAAUUUAGGACUUUACGCCUAUUUUAUUGGUUUCUAGGAGUGAAGUAAUGAUUGAUAGGGAUAGUUGGGGGUGCUAGUAUUCAUCGGCCAGAGGUGAAAUUCUUGGAUUCGAUGAAGACUAACUAAUGCGAAAGCAUUCACCAAGGAUGUCUUCU